UUGAUAUUGAUUUUCCUUAAAACGUCACAGAAAGAACAUAUAAACAAAAUUUGGAGCUAGGGUGAGUUAUGGGAAAAAACACAAUGAAAACUCAGAGGGUUGCAAUUCUGAUGAUGAUUAUGUUGGGUUUUGUACAAAUUCUAGAAACUGAGGGAAACAUCCCAUGUCCUAUUUCAUGUGGCUUUGAGUGUUUGAUUUCUUCUCAACCCUAUGGCCUGUGUUGGGUUCCGUGUGUUAUAAAAUGUUCAAUAACUCCAGCUGCUUUAGAUUGUGUUAAGGGUUGUGGCGUCAACAAGACCAUCACCAUUGAUAUUGAUGCUGCUGGUAAGGUAUCUAAUGUGGUUGAUUCUUGCUUGCAAAAGUGUUCCAAGUUACAGAAAUAAUAAUUGUAAGACAAUUCAAGAGCAAGACUAGAAUGUCUCUCUUUGAUAAUUUCAAUAAAAAAGUAUGAAACAAAAAAUAUUUUAUUUU